AUUCUUACAACUUGCUUUCAAAUGCUGGGAAUAUCCUCUGGGGCUCCUCUCUGCAUCCAAAGGUCAAGGAACUGACAUUUCAGUAUCAGCAACAUAACUUCAGAAGCUAGAAGAAAGAUAAACACAGUUUGUGAUAUCAUCAGAAGAUAAGGCCCAGAUCUUCUUGGCUCUCUUUCCCCUCGGGUUCCAGACUAGAGUGAAGAAUGAAUGUGAAUAUUCAUCAGAAUGGUCUCAGGAGCCAGCUCUAAAAUCCAGAUGACCCAGUCCACAACCUCACUGUCUGUGUCUCCAGGAGAUAGAGUCACCAUCACCUGCCAGG